AUUGAACGCUGGCGGCAGGCCUAACACAUGCAAGUCGAACGAGCGGCGGACGGGUGAGUAAUGUCUGGGGAACUGCCCGAUGGAGGGGGAUAACUACUGGAAACGGUAGCUAAUACCGCAUACUAUCGGAUGUACCCAUAUGGGAUUAGCUAGUAGGUGGGGUAACGGCUCACCUAGGCGACGAUCCCUAGCUGGUCUGAGAGGAUGAUCAGCCACACUGGGACUGAGACACGGCCCAGACUCCUACGGGAGGCAGCAGUGGGGAAUAUUGCACAAUGGGCGCAAGCCUGAUGCAGCCAUGCCGCGUGUAUGAAGAAGGCCUUAGGGUUGUAAAGGACUUUCAGCGGGGAGGCGUUACCCGCAGAAGAAGCACCGGCUAACUCCGUGCCAGCAGCCGCGGUAAUAC
rnacentral:rRNA from 1 species